rnacentral:rRNA from 1 species
UACGGAGGGUGCAAGCGUUAUUCGGAAUUAUUGGGCGUAAAGGGCGUGUAGGCGGCUUGGUAAGUCAGAUGUGAAAGCCCGGGGCUCAACCCCGGAAGUGCAUUUGAUACUGCUUGGCUUGAGUGCGGGAGAGGAAAGCGGAAUUCCCAGUGUAGAGGUGAAAUUCGUAGAUAUUGGGAGGAACACCGGUGGCGUAGGCGGCUUUCUGGACCGACACUGACGCUGAGACGCGAAAGCGUGGGGAGCAAACCGG